rnacentral:rRNA from 1 species
ACUGUCUCAACGAGGGACCCGGUGAAAUUGAAGUACCUGUGAAGAUGCAGGUUACCCGCGACUGGACAGAAAGACCCCAUGGAGCUUUACUGUAACCUGACAUUGGGUUCUGAUACAUCACGUACAGGAUAGGUGGGAGGCAUGGAAGCGAGGACGCUAGUCUUCGUGGAGCCGCCGUUGGGAUACCACCCUUGAUGUAUCGGAAUUCUAACCGUAGGAGUAACGAAACUCGGGACAGUGUCAGGCGGGCAGUUUGACUGGGGCGGUCGCCUCCCAAAGAGUAACGGAGGCGCCCAAAGGUUCCCUCAGCGCGGCCGGAAAUCGCGCGAAGAGUGUAAAGGCAGAAGGGAGCUUGACUGAGAGCCAAACACGGCAAUCAGGUACGAAAGUAGGGCUUAGUGAUCCGGUGGCAUCCAAGUGGAAGGGCCAUCGCUCAACGGAUAAAAGCUACCCUGGGGAUAACAGGCUAAUCUCUCCCAAGAGUCCAUAUCGACGGGGAGGUUUGGCACCUCGAUGUCGGCUCAUCACAUCCUGGGGCUGAAGUCGGUCCCAAGGGUUGGGCUGUUCGCCCAUUAAAGUGGUACGUGAGCUGGGUUCAGAACGUCGUGAGACAGUUCGGUCCCUAUCCAUCGCGGGCGCAAGAGAUUUGAAGGGGGCUGCUCCUAGUACGAGAGGACCGGAGUGGACGAACCAAUGGUGUACCAAUUAUCUCGCCAGAGGUAUAGUUGGGUAGCUACGUUCGGAAAGGAUAAACGCUGAAAGCAUCUAAGCGUGAAACCAGCCUUAAGAUGAGAUCUCUCAUAGAGCAAUCUAGUAAGACACCUUGGAGAAGACGAGGUUGAUAGGUCGGGAGUGUAAGUACAGUAAUGUAUUCAGCGGACCGAUACUAAUAUGUCGAGGGCUUGACUUG